AGAACGAACGCUGGCGGCAUGCCUAAUACAUGCAAGUCGAACGAACUCUUCGGAGUUAGUGGCGCACGGGUGCGUAACGCGUGGGAAUCUGCCCCUUGGUUCGGAAUAACAGUUGGAAACGACUGCUAAUACCGGAUGAUGACGAAAGUCCAAAGAUUUAUCGCCAAGGGAUGAGCCCGCGUAGGAUUAGCUAGUUGGUGAGGUAAAGGCUCACC
rnacentral:rRNA from 1 species